rnacentral:lncRNA from 1 species
UGAAAAGAUGAAAAAUCAAGAAAUGGCAAUUUUGAAUAUAACAUAAUAAUUGGUUAUAUUUUUUUAGUUCAUUUAUGGUGUCAGAGUAAGUAUAGUGUAUUACUUAUAAACUACCUUACUUGGGAAAUUUAUAUAUAAGUUUGGAAGUUUAUAUAAACUUAGAUGUGAGGGAAAUUUUAGUGCCUUUGUUUGUGUGUUUGUUUGUUUGUUUGUUUGUUUAAAGAAGACUAAAUUGGUCCUGUGGACUGUAAAUGAUGUACUUACUGUCAUAGACUGCUCGUUUUUUGGUCACAUUAUCUCUGUGGAAAAAGUUUUCAAGGCUCUUGUUUUAUUAAUAACUCCUAAAGUUUGUCUCUAAGCAAUAUCAGCUUUAGUUUAUAAAUAGCUCACUUGGAGGUGAUUAUCCUAGUAUAGGUCAUGGAAAAUGCAUUAAUUUCCUUAUUUUAUUAAUCAGAUCUUUAUCAGUAGAGAGGUUAUACCCUCCACUCCCAAUUUCUUAAAUCCUAGUCAUUUCCAAAUGGACAUGCAUACUUUUCAAUAACUUACCAAACAGAAAUGCUUGUUUAGAGGGAAUAUUUAUAGGUACCCAAGUUAUAACUAUUACAUUAUACUUGUCUCCUUUGAUACAAUAUUUCAUCUCUAACUAGAUUGUAAGCUCUUCAAGAGGACCGUCUUGUGUGUUUUAAUCUGUUACUUCCUGGAGAUCCAUCGUGCAGGAAACACAGAACAUUUCUUUAGUGAUUUAUUCUUUUUAGGGCCAUACAUUUUAAAGGAAGGGUUAGCAGUAUUCUUUUAGAGUUGUACAGAUUAGAGGAAGCAGAAAAAACAUGUUUACUAUAAUUUAAUUGAUUUUUCUUUCCCUGAGACAGAGUUUCUCAGUGUAGACCUGGCCUUGAACUCAGAGAUGAGUCUGCCUCUGCUUUCCAAGUGCUGGGAUUUAGGUGUGGGCCGCCAGGCCCAGCGUAAUUGCAGGUUUUGUCUUUUGUUUUUUCUUUUUUAAAGAUAAAGAGGAAGUUUAUUUUUAUACCUUAAAAAAAGUCUUCUGUGCUUUGGAUUCCCUUUCAUCCUUAUGCUUUACACAGUGGCAUCUUCCUCUGGAACCUAAGCAUAGUGCUGAGAUUGUGUUGCUCAGAAUAACUUCUCGAGAAGUCGGGGUCACGGUAGUAAAGAAGCGCGCCUCCCUCGAAGGCUGGACUUGGUGUUGAUUAUGUCACAAUCAAAGAAAAAAACACUGAAUUCAAAAUAAGUCUUCUCAAAACUACACAUAAAGAACAAUAUUCGGUCUGAUACUAUAUAGUGGAUAUGCAUGUCAUUCUAUAUGUCCAGAUUCAGUGCGAAGUACCAAGAUAAACCGUGAUGUCAAAAAAUAAAUACAGUAAAAAUACAUAAAGCUUGUAUCAUUGUCUACAUGCUAUUUAUCAGUUUUAUAGACUAUCCAUGGACUGUUUUAAGUAUAAUCUGUUGCAUCUUACAUUUUUCAUUUGCUGGAUGACUGGUAAGCAAUGUAUUAAAAUGACUUGCAUAUUUCUUUCUAUUCUGUAGAGCUUUAUUGUUGACAAUACAGACAGUUCUCCACUUUUAUAAUAUUGAAGACAGUGAGGAUAGCCCUGAAGCCUAUAAAUUCCUUACAGACUUCUCAGCAUCUCCAGUUGUCUGGUUAAAUGCAGAAUAUGUGUUCUUUGACCUUGCCUUCAUGCAGUCCCACCUCAGGGAGCUGAGUUUUCACUGUUCCAUGUCUGACUUGUAAAUAUUUCAUCAAGAAUUCAAGACCUAAUUCAAAAUCACUCACACUGAUGCUUAAACUUACAGACCUCUUAAAAAAAUCUACCAACAACAAUAUCAAACUGUGUAGGCCUUCAGCGUCCUUUGAAUGUAGUCUUACACAGUCAUUUAGGAUUUGCUGACCACCUCAGAUAGAAUACUAAAUAUUUAACUGCAGGUCAUACAUAACUUUGUGGUUCUUUCAGUUCAGGAAUUGAACUAGUUUAUAAAGCAAAACUUAAAGACAGCUUCACUCUCUUUCAGUGUGAAAACUAGUUUUAGAAAAGUAACUACUUGUUGAAGAUGUAGUGCUUUUUAUUUUUAAGAAAUGAGCUUCUGGGGCUGAAGAGAUGGUUCAUCGGCUAAGAGUACUGGAUGCUCUUCCAGAGGUCCUGAAUUCAGUUUCCAGCAAUCACGUGGUCCACAACCUCUAUGAUGAGAUCUGAUGCCCUCUUCUGGCAAGCACCAUAUAUAGACACAGAACACUCAUACAUAAAUAAAAAAAAUUUUUUAAAUGAACUUCAGGGUCCAUUUCGUAGCACUUUACACAUAGGCAUUGCGUGAAGGGUUGGCUUUCUAAAAAGGCUCAGUGUAGAGAGCUGUGUGAGGUGCUCAUGUCUGCGAAGGUAGUUCACUGGGAAGACGUGGCAUAAAAGUGUUGCCAAAAAAAGCCAGUGUGUGGUUUGUUGUGUAAAGGUGCUUGCUGCCAAGCUUGGUGACCUGAGUUCAGUCCCAGGAACCUGCAUGGUAGAAGGUAAGAAUCCGCUACAUAAGUUGUCCUCUGAUCACCAUACUCACACAUGCACAUGAU